rnacentral:rRNA from 1 species
AUGGAGUUCGUCGACAUGGAUGGUCAGCUAAGAUCGACGGGCAGCUUAAUACCUGGGUGCUUGAACGCGUCGCAAAGAUUAAGAGAUGUGAUGCGUGCGCCACCAAUAUGCUCAUCAGGAUCGUCAAGAGCUUCCCAUCGUGUGGAUGCUUCGAUGACGAAUGAUGUGGAAGAUGGGGCUCGAUCACAGCUUGAAGCCACGGUGGGAGAUGAUAAAGAUCUAUCCAUCAACAACUUAUCCCGAGAGCAUGCAGAUAGUUUAGAAGCUGGAUCUUGCGAAGUCCGGGUGGAAGAUGCAGGCGGAGGAGAAGCAACAUCAACAUGGAAAAGGAGGGUUAGGCUGUCAAAUGGAGAUGUUGAGAGAGAGUGGAGUGCAGAAAGGAAGAGCGCACUUGAAGUGACCAUAAGACGAUUCGCCGAGAAGAAAGAAGGCGUUGUAAUAAAUCCUAAAAUUGGUUUGUCCUUUGAUUCUCUGAACGAGGCUUACGAAUUUUACAACCUGUACUCGCGGGAAAUCAGAUUUGGGAUACGUUUUGCCAGAAGUCGUCUGAAUGUCAAACGAGCCAAAUGCAUGCAGGAGUUGGUUUGCGGAUGUGCGGGCACCCCAAUUAAGGAGAACGACAGAUCUUCUAGGUGUGGAUGUGAAGCCAAAAUUCGCCUCUUGCGUUCGUUUGAUAAUGGUUGGUACAUCAGCGAGCACCACAUUGAUCAUAACCACCCGAUGUCAACUACUUGUGGGCAGAAACUACAUUGGAAGUCGCACAAGUACAUUAAUACACACACUAAAGACUUGGUGAAGCAACUCAGUGAGAAUAAUUGUACCUGA